GCCCUUGUAGUCUAGUGGUCUAGGACACCGGCCUUUCACGCCGGAAACACCAGUUCAAAUCUGGUCGGGGGUA
rnacentral:tRNA from 1 species